GUUGGUUAUGGAGACAUUUACCCACAAACCCUCCUUGGAAAGAUUGUAGGAGGGCUCUGUUGCAUAGCAGGUGUGUUGGUUAUUGCCCUUCCAAUCCCAAUCAUUGUGAACAAC
rfam:Larimichthys crocea isolate SSNF unplaced genomic scaffold scaffold32, whole genome shotgun sequence.